rnacentral:lncRNA from 1 species
UCUGGGUAGACAUUAAAGUCUCAGAAGUGCCUAAGUCUUCCCCACAAAGGACAGAGGGAACUGAGAGGCAAAAACCAGAAGCCGAGAAGCCACCUCUCAUGCCCAGACGCCACAGGAAGAAGAGCCAGCAGCUCUCCUCAGGCCUGUCUGACUUCAGUCACAGAGAGCCUGUGACAGCAAACUGGUCCCAGUUCCAGACAAGCAGGCUUCCACGAGGGACCAGGAAAGCACUGUCGAGGCCACUUCCCUGGUGCCUCCACUAGUCAUAUAAAUGCCAACGGGCACCAGGGCUGUAGGCAAUGGGGUCUGCCAGUGCUGGCAGCAAUGGCUGUGUUGGUGGCCUCAAGUCACAGGAGGGAGCCAGCCACCAUUUUGUGAGCAUAAGGCUGAACUGGACACUAAAUGGCUGCAGUCCUCCUGUCCUUUUGGUGUGAACCUUAGCCUUUAAUGGCUGAACCAUCUCUUUAGACUGCAGCUGCUGUCUUCCAUAGCUCCUUUGUAGCAGGAGUUGAAGUGUCUUUGCUCAAUCCCAUGUCUGACUUGGCCUUGUGACUUAACCUCCCUGAAUAUGUAAGCAUGUCUCAGUUCCAAGCCCGGGGUUCAAGAAGUCUUGUAGCUAGCUUUUGCACUUACAUCUUUGGCAAUGGAAAGAAGCCUGAGAGAGACCCAGGCUGUUGAAUGGGGCACAUGUGAUCCAGUCACGGUUUCACCUUAGGUGACAGCCAAGCACCAGCCGUGUCCUGCCAGUUCACCACGUGACACAUCAGCAAGCUGUAGCAGAGGCAGGCUGGAAGGCUCACCAGCUGGCCCGCAGACUCUGGAGCAAAUAAAUGUUUAUUGUUUGAAGCUACAGUUUAAGCCAAGGGGCGGUGGCCUGAUUGUGUGGCAAUACAAAACUGAUACAGCAGGAAAGCACACGAAAGAGAAGGAAGGUGUGAAGUUGGAGGUAUUCCCACCAGGCAUAAAUGGAAUAAAGAGGGACUCAGAGGGAAGGCAAGGAGAGCCUGCCUGAGUUCAGUGUGGAGUGGCCAGAGAAGAGAAAUUCCAGAUAGAGAGGAGGCUGAGAGCAAUGAGCACCUGUUAACAGGGGAAGAGGGGCCUCAGCUAGCGGGGUGGCUGCAUCCUGCCAGACUGAAGUACAAAAAAGAACUGAGAGAGCCCCCUACGGAUCCCCUGGGGUCCUGAGUGCCAUAGGAGAGGUCCAGACAUGCCAGUGGGCAACUGCAGGCUCUGGACUGGGAUGGGCAUGUUAAUAGUCUACAUUUUAGUGACUGCGCGUGAGAAAGGCAGAGAAAUGUGUAGGGGCCACAAGGGACAAGCACACUCAAAACCAGCAAGAAAAUAGAAGGUGGCCAGAAGGUGGGGACCUUUAAAUUGCACUGGUAUUGUAAGUACAACGAUGGUUAAACAUGACUGUUAAAUGUCACCAUCCCAGAGCACAAGCAUGGAGUCCAGGCUACUCCAGAGGAUGCGGACGAAGGAUUGCUUGAGAACACGAUUUCAAGACCCCUAGGCAACAUAGCAAGACUACCUGCAUUUAAAAAUAAACAAACAAACAAACAAACAAACAAACAAAUAAAUAACAUCAAACUGUAGGUAACGGGUGGCACUGUGUCGGGAAGAUUUCAGGGAUUCAUUGAAAAUGGAAGGAGGAGCCCUGAAGGAUGGCCCAACACUUAGGAGGCAGAAGCAGGUAGAUCUCUGAGUUUGGGGCCAUUUGGUGUUCUAGGACAGCCAGAGCUAAACACAGAAAGCCUGUCUUUAUGAAGACCCCUUUCCUUUGUCCUUGGCGUUUCUCAGAACUUACUGGACACUUUCACUCCCUUCCCCAAGCUGUUGCAGUUUCUCCAAAAGCUUCAGGUUCCCCUGGCUCUGGCGCACAGCUCUCAGGCGUGCAGGGAUUGCAAGGCCACGCUCUGCCUCCAGAGGGCGCUGCGCCGCCGCCUGGGGGAGCGACUGACCAGGGAUAUUGCAAGUGUGUUUGUAUGUGUUCUUUAAAUACGGCGCCUGCAUCCCGGGCCCCUUCCCGAUUACGUUUCUUAUCCUGCUCGCAUCUGUCUAGUGGAGAAUUUAGCCGAGCCUGAGAUGAGGCUAACUUCAGCGCAGGUGGGACGAGCAGGGUUUAUGCAACAAUGCAGAGCGGUUCCAGAACGCCCCCGGCUAGGGUGUCCCAGACCGAGUAGUACCAACAACCAUAGGGAGGACCCUGUGGGGAUCGCGACCCCAGAGCCUCACGGCUCGAAAGUCAUAGAGACCUCAAGACCCAAUGGCCUCUGGAAGCUCUCUGGAGAUACCUUGGGAGUUUCCAAUUGAUAACUUGUUUCAGUUCUUAAAAUAAAAACAAAGCCGGGCGUGGUGACGCUUGCCUUUAAACUCCGGAGGCAGAAGCAGGUAGAUCGCGGAGUUUCAGGCCAGCCUGGUCUACGCAGCGAAUUCCAACACAGCCAGGGCUACACAGAGAACCCCUGUCUCAGGUGCUCAGGCAUGGGGACUGGAGGUUGGGGGUACGACCCCAAACCUAAGUAGCCCAGGGAGAUGUCUCAGUCACUAUUCCCCAGCAGGAAGCUGCGACACUUGGAGCCUUUGGGAUUGGCAGAGUUAAAAUCAUAUAACCCAGGAUGCCGUGGACUCUUUUUUUUUUUUUCCAACCCCGACGACGAUGGAAUUUGGAAUUGGGUAGAGGGGGCUGGGAAGGCAAGAAGCUGUGAUCGGGAUGCAUCCUUAGGGUGGGGGUCUGGAGAAGUCGGUGUUCGGUCACUGGGUGAAUAAUAAAAGAUGCAGCCCUGCCUGUGAGCAGUUUGUGUGAUGUGUUCCGGAA